UCAUCUUCAAUACUCCCAUUUCCUUCUCUUCAAAAGAUCCCUCAUCUUCAAUAACAACCCAUCAAAUUUCAAAUCCUAAUUACCCCAAAUACAAACUCCGCGUUGCCGCCACAUCAACAUUCCGGUCCACUCCAGCGAUUGCCCAAUCAAUUCCAGCUAGCUGCUGACGACGCACAAAAGAAGAGUGGAGAACAGAAAAGACGACUUCUUCUUACUCCUCUAUCUGCUUCCUCCUUUCUCCUUACUUUGUCUCCAUCCGAAAUCUGUUUUCCCCCUUCCAGCCUUCCUAAAUCUGCAUCGUUUAUUCCGUUGCUUUUUUCGUUUUAAUCUCCCGUCAGAGACUCGGAGCUUUCUGGUUGUAGUAACCAAAUUUUGUCCGGGUCCUCGAGUUUUUUUGAUUACGUAACUCUACUUUACAUCUAAUUUUUGAUCUUUUUCUGGUCCAAUUUCAGGCCCGAUUUUCGGCCCGAUGUCGGGCCCGUUACUGUAAUCAAUCAGGGAGCUGUCACCUCUCUUUUAAGUCAGAGCAUGGGUGUUGAAUUGUGAUUUGUUUUCAAGGGCGGUGGGAGCCCCUUUUGUUCAUUUAAAAGGACCAUCGAAUUUAUUUCGAGAGGGGGAGGGAGAGAACGAAGAAGGACUACCGAUUACAACGAGAACUCCCCCAAAAUCCCCUAAUCCCACUACACCCUAAAUCCAUUACACCCUAAAUUCAUUACACCCCAAUCCCUCCACAAAAGAAAAUUGACAAAAAUAAACAGAAAUACAAAGCUUUUCUAGCCGAAACUUUGGGGGUUCAAAGCUUCCGAAUUCCCAAAUUUUUGGAGCCAGCAGCCUAGGGCUCAUCCAGACUGCAAAAGAAGAACAAAGUUAGUUUUCAAAGAUUGGUACUCCAAACAAGCCUUUUUGUAAUUCUCAAUCAUUCACAUAUCUUUAGUGUCUUAAAUCCUAUACAUAUUGAUAUACAUGUUAGUGUCGCAUGCUAUAUUAUAUAUCACCAUGUAAGCUACUUACAGUCUAAUAACUUUCAUAAUUGAAUAAAUAAACGACUCCCUAAAACUAACAUUAGCUGGAAAAAUGAAGCUUCUUUAUUUAAUAAAGUUUUCAAGUAGAAAAUCAUUUGUAUAAACAUUUAGAUUACCGAUUUAGCUUUAAUAACAAAACAGUCAAAUUUUUCAAGCAACCUAAAGUUAGUAACAAGACUACCAUCAUCAAUCAAGUAAACUCAGAAUAAACAAAGGGCUCCACCUUUUACCUUUCUCGUCCUCUGCUCCGGCGAGUCCGUCGUCGACAGAGACUUUUAUUUCAAUUUCCUGCUUUUGCCUCUCCGGCUCCAUUGAUCCCCAACUCUAUUGAAAACAGAAACCAAAAUAAAAAUAAAAAACUUAGAGAAAGACCACGAACUCAAACCCUAAAUCUAAAGAUCGGGGCUUGCAAACGACAUGCAAGCCCGGAUCGAACUAAAAAUAGGGAAACGCGAAUAGAAAGGGGGGGUUUUUUUUACCUGUUUCCCUUCCUUUGUCGCUGUGGGAGAAGAGAGGAGGCGGAGGCGGCGGGGGA
rnacentral:lncRNA from 1 species